UCUGCCCAAGACACAGGAAUAACCAGUGGAAACGCUGGCUAAUGCCUGAUGAUGUGCCGGCCUUUCGGGGCUUGUACCAAAGGUAGCUUCGGCCUCCGGUCUUGGAUGAGCCCGCGUCCCAUUAGCUUGUUGGUGAGGUAACGGCUCACCAAGGCGACGAUGGGUAGCUGGUCUGAGAGGACGAUCAGCCACACUGGGACUGAGACACGGCCCAG
rnacentral:rRNA from 1 species